AGAUUGAACGCUGGCGGCAGGCCUAACACAUGCAAGUCGAGCGGUAGAGAGGUGCUUGCAUCUCUUGAGAGCGGCGGACGGGUGAGUAAUGCCUAGGAAUCUGCCUAGUGGUGGGGGAUAACGUUCGGAAACGGACGCUAAUACCGCAUACGUCCUACGGGAGAAAGCGGGGGACCUUCGGGCCUCGCGCCAUUAGAUGAGCCUAGGUCGGAUUAGCUAGUUGGUGAGGUAAUGGCUCACCAAGGCGACGAUCCGUAACUGGUCUGAGAGGAUGAUCAGUCACGCUGGAACUGAGACACGGUCCAGACUCCUACGGGAGGCAGCAGUGGGGAAUAUUGGACAA
rnacentral:rRNA from 1 species